AUGUUAGCUGGUGAUGCUGAAGAAGACGUGAAUGACUCCCAAACAGGCGAGCAAGAGACCGAGGACGGUGUUGGGGCAGCAGAUCGUGUGUCUAAGGGUCGCAGGGAGCUGAUCAACAGGAUUGGUGAGGCCUCUCUCAAAGCUGCUCUGGACGGCCUUCAGACAGAGAUCUCUGGUAGAUCUGCUGUGAUUACGCGUUAUGAGUCAAACAUGGUUUUGCAAAAACACCUCGUGAUUGAAGACCAAGUGAGGUGCCUCGUUGACAUGUUGUGGAACAAGGGCGAACUGGCCUGUGAGAGAUUUCUUGAUGUUCUUGCAGAAGUGGACCCUGCCCUCUGGAAAUACCUCUUUGGUGCUGAGACCUCAACUCUGGCACAACCAGCAAAGAAGCCUGGUAUGUUCUGCUUACUCUUUACAUUACUUUUACUAUCUAUCCGGUAA